UCUUGUUAUAAAUAAUUAGUAUAAAAUUUAAAUAUUUACGUAAGGAUGUGGAAAUACAGUGUUUGAUUUCAUUGUUCAAUUGUUUUAAGACGGUGUCACUUCCAGGGGAUCAGAGGAAAUCGUACGAUAUAUUGAGAAGUAACUUAGUACAUUAUAGUAACACAGGAGUGCUUCCAAAAAUUACUCUGUAAUACCGGGAAUAAUGAGUACAGAUUUACUUGAGGGUUGAAUUGCCGUUCGACGAGUGUCGGAUCGGCUCCCCAGGUAGAUACGGACCUCCCGACGUAUGGUCUCGCGUUCCUGUAUUUAUGCAACGGGACGCGAAAACUUUGCUUGCGCGAUUCAGGACUCCCCAUUCAUAAAACAGGAAUGGAUUGCAUGUCAACGGCAACUUUGUCACCCUACACUGAGCCGUGACAACAGAAUCCAUCAGCUGUACAGAGACGCCACUUCGUUUGACGAGCGUUUGUGACGUCAUCGUGGCACUGACGGAUCACAAGCUGACGUGUACUGAAAGAUUUGGAUGCGUUCAUUUACGAAGAUAAAACUAGCAGAUAUUUAAGACAACU